AUUGAACGCUGGCGGCAGGCCUAACACAUGCAAGUCGAACGAGUAGCGGACGGGUGAGUAAUUUCUGGGAAACUGCCUGAUGGAGGGGGAUAACUACGGUAAAACGUAGCUAAUACCGCAUACGCUCAUAUGUGCCCAGAUUGGAUUAGCUGGUUGGUGGGGUAACGGCUCACCAAGGCGACGCUCCCUAGCUGGUCUGCGAGGCUGAUCAGCCACACUGGAAUUGAGACACGGCCCAGACUCCUACGGGAGGCAGCAGUGGGUAAGAUUGCACAAUGGGCGCAAGUCUGAUUAAGCCAUGCAGCGUGUAUGAAGAAGGCCUUCGGGUUGUAAAGUACUUUCAGUGGGGAGGCGUUACCUGAAGGAGAAGCACCGGCUAACUCCGUGCCAGCAGCCGCGGUAAUUC
rnacentral:rRNA from 1 species